AUUGAACGCUGGCGGAAUGCUUUACACAUGCAAGUCGAACGGCAGCACGGACUUCGGUCUGGUGGCGAGUGGCGAACGGGUGAGUAACAUAUCGGAACGUAUCCAAUAAUGGGGGAUAACGAGUCGAGAGAUUCGCUAAUGCCGCAUACGCCCUACGGGGGAAAGCUGGGGACCUUCGGGCCUGGCGUUAAUGGAGCGGCGGAUAUCUGAUUAGCUAGUUGGUGAGGUAAAGGCUCACCAAGGCGACGAUCGGUAGCUGGUCUGAGAGGACGACCAGCCACACUGGAACUGAGACACGGUCCAGACUCCUACGGGAGGCAGCAGUGGGGAAUUUUGGACAAUGGGCGCAAGCCUGAUCCAGCCAUUCCGCGUGAGUGAAGAAGGCCUUCGGGUUGUAAAGCUCUUUCGCAAGGGAAGAAAACUUAGCCACUAACAUUGGUUGAGGUUGACGGUACCUUGAUAAGAAGCACCGGCUAACUACGUGCCAGCCGCCGCGGUAA
rnacentral:rRNA from 1 species